CCCCCCCAUAACCCCAUAAGGAUCCCAUAACCCCCCCCCCGACCCUAUAAAAUAAAGCUCUACACGUUGGUCUAUUCCUGAAGCCUCAUUAAUGGGGUUUGGGGUCUUUAUAGGGUCUGGGGUCUUUAAUAGGAUUUGGGGUCCCAAUAAGGUUUGGGGUCUUUAAUAGGGUCUGGGGGGGUCUUAAUAUGGGGGUCCCAAUAGGGUUUGGGGUCUUAAUAGGGUUUGGGGUCCCAUUGGGGUCCCAAUAAGGUUUGUGGGGGGUCUUAAUAGGGUUUGGGGUCCUAAUAGGGUUUAAGGGUCCCAAUAGGGUUUGGGGUCCCAAUAGGGUUGGGGUCUUAUUAGGGUCUGGGGGUCCCAUUGGGGCCCCAAUAGGGUUUGGGGUCUUAAUAGGGUCUGGGGUCUUUAAUAGGAUCUGUGGGGGUCUUUAUAUGGGGAUCCCAAUAGGGUCUGGGGUCCCAAUAAGGUUUGGGGGGGGUCUUAAUAGGGUCUGGGGUCUUUAAUAGGAUUUGGGGUCCCAAUAGGGUUUGGGGUCUUAAUAGGGUCUGGGGUCUUUAAUAGGAUUUGGGGUCCCAAUAGGGUUUGGGGUCCCAAUAGGGUCUGGGGUCCCAAUAGGGUUUGGGGUCUUAAUAGGGUCAGGGGGUCCCAUUGGGGUCCCAAUAGGGUUUGGGGUCUUAAUAGGGUUUGGGGUCCCAAUAUGGUUUGGGGGGGUCUUAAUAGGGUCUGGGGUCUUUAAUAGGAUUUGGGGUCCCAAUAGGGUUGGGGUUACCUAUAGGGUUAUUACAUAUAGGGUUGGGGUUACCUAUAGGGUUGGGGUUGGGGUUAUUAUAUAUAGGGUUACCUAUAGGGUUACCUAUAGGGUUAGGGUUGGGGUUGGGGUUGGGGUUAUUAUAUAUAGGGUUACCUAUAGGGUUACCUAUAGGGUUAGGGUUGGGGUUGGGGGGAGGAAGAGUUGGUUAUGAGGGGCUGGUAUANNNNNNNNNNNNNNNNNNNNNNNNNACACCCCAUAGACCCCAUAGACCCCAACAGACACUCACUCACCCCAUAGACCCCUAUAGGCACCCCAUAGACCCCCACUCACCCCAUAGACCCUAUAGACACCCCAUAGACCCCUAUUGACACCCCAUAGACCCCUAUUGUCACCCCAUAGACCCUAUAGACCCCACAGACCCCUAUUGUCACCCCAUAGACCCUAUAGACCCCANUAGACCCUAUAGGCACCCCAUAGACCCCUACUGACACCCCCUAUACACAUCCACUCAUCCCAUAGACCCCUACUGACACCCCAUAGACACCCCAUAGACCCCAAUAGACACUCACUCACCCCAUAGACCCCUAUUGACACCCCAUAGACCCCUACUGACACCCCAUAGACCCCAUACAUCAGUCACGCACCCCAUAGCCCCCAACAGACACCCCAUAGACCCCCACAGACCCCUAUUGACACCCCAUAGACCCCAAUAGACACUCACUCACCCCAGACACCCCAUAGACACCCCAUAGACCCUAUAGACCCCAUUAGACACCCCACAGACCCUAUAGACCCCAUUAGACACCCCACAGACCCCAACAGACACUCACUCACCCCAUAGACACCCCAUAGACCCCUAUACACAUCCACUCACCCCAUAGACCCCUACUGACACCCCAUAGACCCCUAUUGACACCCCAUAGACACCCCAUAGACCCCAAUAGACACUUACUCACCCCACAGACCCCUAUUGACACCCCAUAGACCCCAAUAGACACUCACUCACCCCACAGACACCCCAUAGACCCCUAUUGACACCCCAUAGACCCCAAUAGACACUCACUCACCCCAGAUACCCCAUAGACACCCCAUAGACCCUAUAGACCCCAUUAGACACCCCACAGACCCUCACUCACCCCAUAGACACCCCAUAGACCCC
ensembl:lncRNA